rnacentral:rRNA from 1 species
UCAAAUCAGGUAGGAAUACCCGCUGAACUUAAGCAUAUCAAUAAGCGGAGGA